AUAUUUAGCCAAACCUUUUAAGUAUUUUCACUUACUCAAUACUUGGCUAAAUGGCGGAACGUACAACGGUGGCGGAAGAAGUGACUUACUCGCAAAACCAAUACCAAUCGACAAUUAUAUACGCAUCUUUAUUGGAUUUCAUUUUCGGUAAGUGUUGCAGGAAGUGAAUGAUGUUAUUUUGUUUCGUUUGCUCUUGGCUUGGCUAAAGGGGCCCAAAUAAGUGUGUGUGUGUUUUUUUUUACAUUAUCGUCAAAUUUGCUUCAUUGUAGUCCCCGGUGCUCCUCUUCCUAGUUCUGUCUUGAAUUGGAAUUUCUAUUUUCACUUCACAUCUACCUGUUCUGUUCUGAUUUGACUACAUUUUGGAACGUGUGGCUGCGCUUUUUCUUGUUUGAUACUGUAAUAGACAUCGUUUUUUCUUCUUUCUAGUUCCAUAUGUUCCUAUUUACUGUGAUAAUUAUAUUAUUGCAUCAAUUGUACCUGACCCGCCAAAUGUAUCGCACAGUAUCGGCCAAAAAUGCGGUCUCGGCUAUGGAACUGUGCAUUUGGUUCACCUCCCAAAUGUGGCCCCUUGGCUGAUCUGCAAACAACGGGCACAUAUUGCGGCAUAACUACUGUCGCCCAUUGAUAAGCUUCCUUUUCCGGAUAUUUUACACUGCUUGGCUACAUGAUUAAACCUUUAACGCAUGUUUAGUACAAGCAUAUAGCAAAUAGGAGUAGUAGGGAAACGGAACUAGGAUAUCCGAAGCGCACACACACACGCCCGUGCUCGUCGGCGAUGGGUCAAACAAGUGAUAAAUGGAGGAUCAGCAGAGCAGCAGUCCCAAAUGAUGAUAUACUUGCACAAACAACAUGAUCUACACGAACAGAUACAGCUAGAUAUUUAUAGAAAUUGUAUAAAAAAGACAAAUAGAAUGCACCUCCCAAACACCCGUUGGUUAGUUGUACAAGAAGUGUAGCAAUUUGGUAGUAACAACAACAGUACAUUGCAUACAGAGAUGGAUGAUGAACAGUUGGAAAAAGAGACAUUCGUUUUUUAUGCUUUUUUUGUUUUUGCUACGUACUAAAGCCAGCGAUAAUACGCCUUCGACUAUAUAUAUAAUAACGCAGGACAACGUACAGCGUGUGAAAAGAAGGUAAAACGAGUGGAGAAACUUCCUAACAAACUAUUGUAUGCUCUCGUAAGACAGAACCAUUCAAAGAACCAACUAGGAAGAGGCUAGGAAAGAUUACAUUCUCUGCUGCGCUUGCAGAGAGUGAAAGCAGUGAACCCGUUGUUUUUUUUACACGAUUCCAAGCAAGCAAACGAAUAUACUUCCGUCUCGUAACGGUUCGCAAUUAGAUAACUCUCACACAACACACUUAUCAUUCUCAAAUAUAUGGAUAAACAUAGUAAUGGGUGUAAUCGAAACCGGGAACAAAAGACAGAAAACCCUCGGAAUGUGAGGGCAAAUGGGAAUUAAAGCUAGUAUAAGAGAGGAAAAAAUGUGGGUAAGAAUAAAAAGCGCUUCUUAAUAGAUGCAUAACACGCUUUACACAUCAAUAGUUUACUAGUUGGCAAAUAUGUUGUUUAAAAGCAAGAGCGUAAAUAAUGUAAAAAGAUUUCAAACAGACAGUACAAAUCACCAUGUGAAUGCGAAA